CGUAUCCAACCUUCCGUUUACUCAGGGAUAGCCUUUCGAAAGAAAGAUUAAUACCUGAUAGUAUGGUGAGAUUGCAUGAUAACACCAUUAAAGAUUUAUUGGUAAACGAUGGGGAUGCGUUCCAUUAGGUAGUAGGCGGGGUAACGGCCCACCUAGCCUGCGAUGGAUAGGGGUUCUGAGAGGAAGGUCCCCCACAUUGGAACUGAGACACGGUCCAAACUCCUACGGGAGGCAGCAGUGAGGAAUAUUGGUCAAUGGGCGAGAGCCUGAACCAGCCAAGUAGCGUGAAGGAUGAAGGUCCUACGGAUUGUAAACUUCUUUUAUACGGGAAUAAAGUAUCCUACGUGUAGGAUUUUGUAUGUACCGUAUGAAUAAGCAUCGGCUAACUCCGUGCCAGCAGCCGCGGUAAUACGGAGGAUGCGAGCGUUAUCCGGAUUUAUUGGGUUUAAAGGGAGCGCAGACGGGAGAUUAAGUCAGUUGUGAAAGUUUGCGGCUCAACCGUAAAAUUGCAGUUGAUACUGGUUUCCUUGAGUGCAGUUGAGGCAGGCGGAAUUCGUGGUGUAGCGGUGAAAUGCUUAGAUAUCACGAAGAACCCCGAUUGCGAAGGCAGCUUGCUAAACUGUAACUGACGUUCAUGCUCGAAAGUGUGGGUAUCAAACAGGAUUAGAUACCCU
rnacentral:rRNA from 1 species